rnacentral:rRNA from 1 species
CAGCCGCCGCGGUAAUACGUAGGUGGCAAGCGUUGUCCGGAAUUAUUGGGCGUAAAGGGCUCGCAGGCGGUUUCUUAAGUCUGAUGUGAAAGCCCCCGGCUCAACCGGGGAGGGUCAUUGGAAACUGGGAAACUUGAGUGCAGAAGAGGAGAGUGGAAUUCCACAUGUAGCGGUGAAAUGCGUAGAGAUGUGGAGGAACACCAGUGGCGAAGGCGACUCUCUGGUCUGUAACUGACGCUGAGGAGCGAAAGCGUGGGGAGCGAACAGGAUUAGAGACCCCAGUAGUCCCUGUCUCUUAUAC